AAAAUUAUUGAGCAUUUACUGUAGCAUUUACCAUAUUACUGUAGCAACAUGAUGGUGGAGUUUUUAUUGUUAUAUUUGUUGGGAUUGGACUGGCUUGUUUUACGUUAGCAUUUGAAUACAGGUAGCAUAAGUAUAAAACAAGCUCAAAAGUUGCAAAUACGAUGAAUCAAAAACAAAUGGUAAUAGAUAGAGGAGAAUUCACUUAUCCAAUCAUACCUAAUUACGAAUCAUCUGGAAUGAGAUCAAGAAACAUUAUCCAAGGUUUGAGACGAUCUAUUGGUCAAUCUACACCCAAACAGCAAUAAUGGAUUCUUCAACAAUUGCAUUUACUUCAUAAAAUUAAAUUAAUUACAUCAAGUAUCAAAUUUAUAGUAAUUAAAUAAUAAAUAAUA